UGAACGCUGGCGGCGUAGCUUAACACAUAGCAAGUCGAACGAAGCCAAAAGGAAGCUUGCUUCUUGAAGCUUAGUGGCGGACGGGUGAGUAACGCGUGAGUAACCUGCCCUUCAGUGGGGAAUAACACAGAGAAAUCUGUGCUAAUACCGCAUAAUGUCUUCUUGCCGCAUGACAGGAAGACCAAAGGAUUUAUUCGCUGAAGGAUGGACUCGCGUCCGAUUAGCUAGUUGGUGAGGUAACGGCCCCACCAAGGCGACGAUCGGUAGCCGAACUGAGAGGUUGAUCGGCCACAUUGGGACUGAGACACGGCCCAGACUCCUACGGGAGGCAGCAGUGGGGAAUAUUGGGCAAUGGGCGAAAAAGCCUGACCCAGCAACGCCGCGUGAAGGAAGACGGUCUUCGGAUUGUAAACUUCUUUGAUUGGGGAAGAAACAAAUGACCUACCCAAAGAACAAGUCACGGCUAACUACGUGCCAGCAGCGGC
rnacentral:rRNA from 1 species